rnacentral:rRNA from 1 species
GAUCCUGGCUCAGAUUGAACGCUGGCGGAAUGCUUUACACAUGCAAGUCGAACGGUAGAGGGGGCAACCCUUGAGAGUGGCGAACGGGUGAGUAAUAUAUCGGAACGUGCCCAGUCGUGGGGGAUAACGUAGCGAAAGUUACGCUAAUACCGCAUACGAUCUAAGGAUGAAAGCGGGGGAUCGCAAGACCUCGCGCGAUUGGAGCGGCCGAUAUCAGAUUAGGUAGUUGGUGAGGUAAAGGGCUCACCAAGCCAACGAUCUGUAGCUGGUCUGAGAGGACGACCAGCCACACUGGAACUGAGACACGGUCCAGACUCCUACGGGAGGCAGCAGUGGGGAAUUUGGACAAUGGACGCAAGUCUGAUCCAGCCAUUCCGCGUGCAGGAUGAAGGCCCUCGGGUUGUAAACUGCUUUUGUACGGAACGAAAAGGUUUCUAUUAAUACUAGGAGCUCAUGACGGUACCGUAAGAAUAAGCACCGGCUAACUACGUG